GUGUCAUAGGGUGCAGGGCAGAGCAGAGGCAGGGGUAGGAGUGGAGACGGAGCCUGACCUGGAGGAACUCAGAAGAUGAUGGUGUGAUAGUGAAUGGGGCACUGAGGAUGGGAAAGCAUCAUGGGACUUUCAGUCUCCUCCUGCCAUGCACCAGGAGAUGUCAGCUGAAUGCCUUGUCUGGAAGAUAACAGCCAGCAGUGCAUCAUCUACAUUAGCAAUGGGUGGGAGCCCUUUGCCUCUGCAGAAACAAGGAGUAAAUGCCAAGCCAAGAGCACCAUCCAUUCUACGCUGAUAGCUACAGAGAAAACCGUCAAAAAUCCCUUCAAAAACUAUCCUCACUCCAGACUCUUGUGCUGUUAAUAAAUGACUCCAUAUCAUUCUGCUAUUAA